AGACAAUAGAUACCCUGGUAGUCCACGCCCUAAACGAUGUCGACUGGUUGUUGGGGGUUUGACACUCUAGUAAACGAAAGCUAAACGCGUGAAGUCGACCGCCUGGGGAGUACGGCCGCAAGGUUAAAACUCAAAGGAAUUGACGGGGACCCGCACAAGCGGUGGAUUAUGUGGAUUAAUUCGAUGCAACGCGAAAAACCUUACCUACCCUUGACAUGUCCGGAAGGCUGCUGAAAGGCGGCUGUGCCCGAAAGGGAACUGGAACACAGGUGCUGCAUGGCUGUCGUCAGCUCGUGUCGUGAGAUGUUGGGUUAAGUCCCGCAACGAGCGCAACCCUUGUCAUUAGUUGCUACCCGCAAGGGGAGCACUCUAAUGAGACUGCCGGUGACAAACCGGAGGAAGGUGGGGAUGACGUCAAGUCCUCAUGGCCCUUAUGGGUAGGGCUUCACACGUAAUACAAUGGCGCGUACAGAGGGUUGCCAAGGAGCGAUCUGGAGCCAAUCCCGUAAAGCGCGUCGUAGUCCGGAUUGCAGUCUGCAACUCG
rnacentral:rRNA from 1 species